AUUGAACGCUGGCGGCAGGCUUAACACAUGCAAGUCGAGCGGGGUUAUGGUGCUUGCACUAUCACUUAGCGGCGGACGGGUGAGUAAUGCUUAGGAAUCUGCCUAUUAGUGGGGGACAACAUCUCGAAAGGGAUGCUAAUACCGCAUACGUCCUACGGGAGAAAGCAGGGGAUCACUUGUGACCUUGCGCUAAUAGAUGAGCCUAAGUAGGAUUAGAGUGUUGGGGGGGUAAAGGCCUACCAAGGGGACGAUCUGUAGCGGGUCUGAGAGGAUGAUCCGCCACACUGGGACUGGGACACGGCCCAGACUCCUACGGGAGGCAGCAGUGGGGAAUAUUGGACAAUGGGGGGAACCCUGGUCCAGCCAUGCCGCGUGUGUGAAGAAGGCCUUAUGGUUGUAAAGCACUUUAAGCGAGGAGGAGGCUCUUUUGGUUAAAACCCAAGAUGAGUGGACGUUACUCGCAGAAUAAGCACCGGCUAACUCUGUGCCAGCCGCCGCCGUAA
rnacentral:rRNA from 1 species